AUGCAGUCUCGCAAAAUGUGUAUUAACGGAAAGUGCAAAACUUAUCCUAACGGUGUACGUCACACGUUCAACUGGUAUGAUUCGUGAUCACGCGACGGUUUGCUGAGGAUACCAUUUUCCAUAUUUAAAAAAAAAAAAUAAAUUCAACUAAUAGUGGAAACUACCACUUACAAAUUUCCAGACCUUGAACGUAAUUCAUGAACUAUAUUUAAGAGCGAAAUAUUCAUACGAGGUUGUUUUGAAGUGGUAAUUAAUUUUACUCAGUGAAAGUGUACACUGCCUGAUUUGUUGGCGGAACGAAGAAUGAAUGAACGAGUUAGUAAAAUAAGUCGAACUCUGGAAGUGAUUAUCCAUGGAAAUUAUGCCGAGUUGAGGAGCUUUACUGGAUCAUACAUUUUUAAAUUAUUGUAUUGAUGUAUCAGUUCAAUAACACUUUUUCUUAAAUUGUAAGUUGAUAAAUCAGUAAAAAAUUUAACGAACGUAUUUGAAAUAUUAAAAUUUACUAUUGAAGAGCCUUGUAUUUAAGCUUGAAUUUGGAACUUAUCGCAGUUAUUUGCAAAUUGCGUCAUAUAGUAACAAAAUAACAUUACUUAUCUAGAAGAUAGACUUGUUACUCAGCUGUGUCCGAUUUGUCUUUAAAAAGUCCAUGUUAUUUGUAAAAAUAGUUACUUACUUAGUUGCUUAUUACUAAAGUUGAUGUUGUGGAUAGCGAUGGAUGUUACUAAGCGCUUAUUCGACUAAACGGUUUUAGA